ACUGAAACACCGGUUCUCGUUCAAUCACCGUUCAGCAUCGUAGAGCCAGGUCAGUACUUAGAUGGGGACCGCUUGGGAACACCUGGUACUGUAAG